rnacentral:rRNA from 1 species
GACGAACGCUGGCGGCGUGCUUAACACAUGCAAGUCGAACGGUAAGGCCCUUCGGGGUACACGAGUGGCGAACGGGUGAGUAACACGUGGGUGAUCUGCCCUGCACUUCGGGAUAAGCCUGGGAAACUGGGUCUAAUACCGGAUAGGACCACUGCCUGCAGGGGGGGUGGUGGAAAGCCUUUGCGGUGUGGGAGGGGCCCGCGACCUAUCAGCUUGUUGGUGGGGUGAUGGCCUACCAAGGCGACGACGGGUAGCCGGCCUGAGAGGGUGACCGGCCACACUGGGACUGAGAUACGGCCCAGACUCCUACGGGAGGCAGCAGUGGGGAAUAUUGCACAAUGGGCGCAAGCCUGAUGCAGCGACGCCGCGUGAGGGAUGACGGCCUUCGGGUUGUAAACCUCUUUCAGCACCGACGAAGCGCAAGUGACGGUAGGUGCAGAAGAAGGACCGGCCAACUACGUGCCAGCCGCCGCCGUAA